GCCUAAGCUCUCGAUGACGGUUUCUCAAGGGAUGACUCCCGCGAGGAUGAAAAGGGAACACGGUGCGGACGACCCGAGCAGGGGCCAAGACCGUGGCUGCCCCCGCAACUGUAAGCGGAUUGCCGACCAGCCCUCGCGGCGCCUUCGGGCGCCAAGCCACUGCGUUGACCACGCGGGAAGGCAGGCAGGCGGCGCAUAUCCGUGAGCCAGGAGACCUGCCGUCCAGAUAUCAACCAA
rnacentral:ncRNA from 2 species